rnacentral:lncRNA from 1 species
GGGAUUUAAUUUUCUCAGCUUUUUGUUAAGAGCACUUCCUCCAAAAAUUUUUUUUCAAGUAAUAAUGCUCUGCUUUGGGUUGGUUUUUGUAAGAUUUUUUGCACACCUAAAGAGUGUUUGCUUUUGUGCUAGCCUUAUCCCUCCACUAAAGUUAUUUUAAAUAAUUUCACAUUUCUGCAAAUUAGCACUUUGCUUAUCUGCAAUCUUUUACUUGGAUUUUUGAAGUUUUAAAGUAAUUGGAGUAAUACUGUUGAACGAGCUAGUUUCACUUCCAAAAUAGAAAAAAUUGUAAAUCCUUGCCUUAUGCAGCUUUCUCAGAAUUCUGCUUCUUCCUAGUACUAGAUGUGUAGCCAUUUGUUUAGUGGACUAAUCCGCAAGGCACACCCUCUAAAACUUAGCUUCACUACAAGAUCUUCCAGAUAAAAGUUUUCUACCUCUUUUCUUAAUUAUUCUGAUCAGGGAUGCUAAAUUAUAAUUUGUUAUGUAUUAUCUCACAUAAUGUGAAGAGGCUUAAUGUUGUGAAGUUUUGUUAUUUUGGUCUCAUUUUUUAUUAAGUAUCUCACUUAGAAAUUCAGUGGUAUACUUUAAAGCACUUGGAUCUUUUUCAGCAUAUCUUCCUAGCAAAUGUUUUAAAAUUGACAUUUAUUUUUAGCAGUUUCACUUGGUGAAGGUGGCCAUAUAAAAUUAAGGAACAUUUGAACAAUAUAAAAGAAAAGAACUUUUAAGGAACAAUUCACAAAGUUUGUUUGAAAUCGUCAGAUGACAUUUCUUGAGUACCUUUUGUGUGCAUAGUUAUUUUAGACAAUAUAAGCUGUUAUGGUCAGCAUAACUUAAAAGUGUUUAGUUUUCUAUUUUACUGAGCCUUAAAAAUAGCACUGAUGAGCUUAUGAUACUUAAUGUUUGGCAAUCAUAAUGUGUUCAAAUUAAUGGGAUUGAAAAUCUCUCCACACCUGACUCUCAUCUGAUCUGGAUGGUUUUAGUUUUGUAUCUUUUUUACUUCUCCCAGAAAAUACUAAAUUUAAAACUGUAAAUUAAGAAUAUACCACUAGAUAACAAUUAUCAAAUUGAGCUUUAUGCAUCAUUACUCAGAAAGCCUGCCUUCCUUUCUUUGCUACUUCAGGACACAGAGUUGACAUUUGCUUACUACAGCUUUAGAUCUAGAAGUUUAUUCAUGCAACAAAUAUUUAUUGAGUAAUUUAUACUGUGCCAGGCAUGUUUUGAUAUGUUUCUGUCAUAUGGUUUGAUAUGUUCCAACAUAAGUUUCUGUCACUUUAAAAUUCAGUAUAUAUUUUCUACAGUGGGUAAAUUUAACAAAUGGAAAGGAAUAGAACACUGAUAUUUUACAGAAUUAAACCCCUUCAUUGUAAGGGCUUUGUUUACAUAUUAAGUGUCAAGUACUUAUUCAGGGGAUCUUAUUUCAUUCUAUUUUAUCUGUUAUCUAGGUUGUCCAUUUACCGGCUGGACACUGAUACUCUGUCAAAUUCCUUUCAAAAAUGACUCUUUAGUCUGCUGAAAUUUAGCACUAGUACUUUAGUGUUCUGAUCCUGGAAAAUUCAAGGUGAAGCUUUAUUUGUGGACCAUCUGAUUUAAUUAUUGAGGAUUAAAAACCUAAACCUUUGCUCAUUCUAAACUCAAGCUUUUAAGCCUCACAGAAUUUACAGGGGUUUGCUUUUUGUUUGUUUGUUUUUUCAUUUUUUACUGUGCUUAUUAAACUCUUGGAAUUAGUUAUUAAAGGGAGUAAAUUCUCAUCUUGGGAAUUUUGAAAAUCUAUGAACUUACAACUUUCAGGAGGAUUAAAUGUCUUAAGUUUUGUACUAGAGCAGAAUGAAAUCUUUCCUAUUCAUUGAAUUUUUGCCUGCCAUAGAGGAAUUUUUUUAAAAAUUAAAAUGACAGUUUAUAUUAGUGGCAAAGUGAAUAAAGACCUCACUUUCCCACCCCACCCUUCUUCCUUUCUCUUACUCGUCUUUGGAUUAAAGGUCAGGUGUAGUACUAUGAAGAUUCACUCCUGAAUAAAGUGAUUUCAGAAGCUAAAAUUUAACAUACCUGGAAAUUUUGUGAUGUAUUAGCCAAGUGAAGACAUUAGUGUGUUCCAUCUUUUGCUAAUGGUUCAUGGUUGAUUUAUUCAUUGUUUCCCAUGAAAUUAGCAUAGUCAAGUGGUACCCUUGACGCUUGACUGCUGGUCAGUUUGACCCUGUUUUUAACAACUAAUGUAGUCAUGCCGCUUGAUUAUUCCAUGAAGUCCCAGCAAAAUAAUAAUGAGGAAUUAACUAACAUUAUGUUAUCUAUCUAAUUUGUCUGUGUCCCUAAAUGCCCAUGCCUAACUUGCUUCUCUAGUUUAUUCCUUCUGUGGAGGGAUUAAAACGUGGGUGUUGCAAGUUGCCCUAAGCUAAACAUAGUUUUCUUACAUCUUUUUGGAAAAAAAAAUGGAAUGGGAAGUAUGCAAGAUUAAGCAACAGUGAUUUUUUUUUUUUUUUGACAAAUCAGGUGGCCUUCCUAAACAUACUAAGAAUUAUGUUCUUUCAUGUGUGGAGACACAUUUGUUUGCAGCACUUUAAAACAUAUAUAUGGAAUAAAAGUUUACAUGUUGGCCCUCUAGGGAUCUAAUUAAGGACAUUAAAGUACAAUUCUUGAGCUACUAACCAUCAGCUCUUCUUAAUCAAAGAUUGCCAUCAGUGUAGAGUGUAUCUAUUGGCACAACAUUCUGGUGUUUUGAUAACAGUAGAACUCAAUUUCAGUAACUAUUAGGAGUAUGGUCUGUGCCCUAGCAUUAAAAAUGUUACUUAUUAUUAUAAUGUGAAUAUCUUGUAUUAUUAUACAAUGCAGUAUUCAAAUUUGUCCUUGUAGUGCAGAGAUGACUGAUAAUUUCUAAAAGAUUUGAUCCUUAAAACUUGUUUCCAAGCAGACUUAUAAGGAAGCUGAUUUUUGAGUCAGAGGCCUUAAACGUGUCCUAUACAAGUGGCAUCAUUUUAAGUCCAAAGUGAAACACUUGAUUUGAAUAAGCUAGUUUAUUAACUAAAGCUGUUUUCUUAUGUUACAGUAUUUCAGCACAUUUCAUUCCACAUAAAAAGAAUAUUAAGUGUCGCUGGUUGUGGGAGAGUGUUUAUUUUUCUCAAAAUUAUCUAGCAUUUUGCUUACAGUGCUUUGAAUAUUUGACUUAAAAUUAUUAUUGAUGUUGAAUUGUAGGGUGCUGAUUUAGGUCUUGAUUCAUACACAUUUAAAGGAGGUUGGUAACCCCCUCAUGGUAGAGUGAAGGGAGAAAAGGGCCAAGAGGACAAAGUACCACUGAUAAAGAAGAGAUUGUCAAAUAGAUGCAUUCCUAGUCAUGAAUUACGCUUUUCCAAACAUUUUUAAAGCAAUGCCUUUGUGUCAACUCAACCCUUCUUCCCCAUUUCUUGUCAUAGAAUGUAGCAUGGCCAUAGGUGAAAAAGCUUAUCAUUAAAGUAUGAAACCAUGAAUUAUAAGCAUUUUGCCAUGAUGCCCUUUUAUACAUAUGUUUUUAAAAGUACUAACCAACAUAUAGGAGUUUAGGAAUGGUGAAGAUAUAAUUUGAUUAAGUUGUAAGUAAACAGAAAGGAUCAUCUUANGCUCAGAAUUUCUAAUAUAAUUACAUGAGUCUACUUUAUAAACUGGUAUAGGCUAUGUAAUUAGCCCGUAAGUUACUUAAAGGACCAAGGGACCUAAUUUUUGUCAUUUUUCCAGUCACAUUGGUGCCAUUCAGGACUCCAGCUGUUUACAGGAAAUAUGUACUUAGCAGAAUAGUAUUUUUCCUUGAAAAAAAUUUGAAUUCAGCCUAAAUACAGAAUGAAUAUGAAUAGCUUGUGAAAAGGGUUAGAGAACAACAAUAUUCCUAUAGUUUCUGUAUUAAUGCAGUAGAGACAGAGGUUCCUAACACAAAAAGAAAACCACAAGUAAAGACCGUCAAAUUAGAGCUUUAGAAUAUGACUUGAAAAAGUAGGGAUGGGCAAAACAGCAUAAGAAAAUAUUUUUUCUUAAUGCAGAUGGACAGUGUUUUCUUGUUUUAAAAAUGUUUUGCCUACUUGCCAGCAUUUUUUGAAGUAAUGCACUGCUGCUACCUGGAAGAUGUCUAACUUCAUUUUCUACAACUCUUAUGUGAUUUUGCCAUUGUCAUUAAGAUGCAUUGAUUUUAUUUAUGAGGUGUAUGACUUUAAAUAUCUAAAUGCUGUAUUAAGUGACUUGUUUCAAAGGAAUAAAUGAAGUGAAAAC